rnacentral:rRNA from 1 species
AACGAACGCUGGCGGCAGGCUUAACACAUGCAAGUCGAGCGCCUCGCAAGAGGAGCGGCAGACGGGUGAGUAACGCGUGGGAACGUACCCUUAUCUUCGGAAUAGCUCUGGGAAACUGGAAGUAAUACCGAAUGUGCCCUUAGGGGGAAAGAUUUAUCGGAUAAGGAUCGGCUCGCGUUGGAUUAGCUAGUUGGUGGGGUAAAGGCCUACCAAGGCGACGAUCCAUAGCUGGUCUGAGAGGAUGAUCAGCCACAUUGGGACUGAGACACGGCCCGAACUCCUACGGGAGGCAGCAGUGGGGGAUAUUGGACAAUGGGCGCAAGCCUGAUCCAGCCAUGCCGCGUGAGUGAUGAAGGCCUUAGGGUUGUAAAGCUCUUUCACCGGAGAAGAUAAUGACGGUAUCCGGAGAAGAAGCCCCGGCUAACUUCGUG